AGGUGGAGAUAAUUGAAUCAUGGGGGCAGUUCCCCCAUCCUGUUCUCCUGGUAGUGAGUUCUCAUGAGAUCUGAUGGUUUUAUAAGGAGCUUCCCUCUUCGCUGGACACUCAUUCUUCUCCCUCCUGCCACCGUCUAAGAAAUGCUUUUGCUCCUCCUUCGCCUUCCACCAUGAUUUUAAAGCCUCCCCAUCCGUGUGGAACUAUACGCGGUCUCCUGGCUUCAAGUGAUCCUGCCCCAGCCUCCCAAAGUGCUAGGAUUACAGACAGGGUCUCACUCUGUGGCACAGGCUGGAGUGCAGCCUCCACCUCCCAGGCUCCAGUGAUCCUCCCACCUCAACCUCCAGAGUAGCUGAGACCACAGGCACUCACCACCACACCUGGCCAAUUUUUGUGUUUUCUGUACAGACGGGGUUUUUCCAUGUUGCCCAGGCUGGUCUCGAACACCUGAGCUCAAGCAAUCCUCCCGCCUCAGGCUCCCAAAGUGCAGGGGAUUACAGGCGAGAGCCACCACCCCUGGCAUCAUGAUCUUUUUCCUGAAAGUUGCCUAAGGAGAUGCUAAUGCACAAAACCUCCCCAUGUAUGCUGGUGAAUGAUGGGACUCUGUCAACAGCACCCGGCACAUAAGCCACCUGGAUCCUUGGAUCUUUAGGAGAAAUGGACCUUUGCUUUUCUCUGUCAUAAUCCAGCUACACCCCACUCUGCAUAUAGUCCCACUUAGUGGAGAAAAUAAAAGGUCAUCAUGGAUACCACAGAGAGCCCCAUUCAGACCCUAGACACAGCUUACAAUAUUGGUAUGAAACAGAGGAACAUACGACUAUGAUGAAAUGUGGAAGUACAGAAGUGGCAUCUGCUCCACAGCCUCUCAAUGUGUGCUAUUCAAUGAAAUUCAUUUUGCUAAAAUUUAAUACAUUAUCUUGUCUCUGUAGUCAAGUAUUACAUAGUAAAAUUUAUGGUGGACUGAGCAGAUUCCGAAUUUUAGAGCUAGAAAGAGCCUAAGAUACCAGAAGAGUCCAAAGCCCAAAGAGGUGACUGGUGUAAGGUCCAGUGAGGACCAUCAUAGGGAACAGAGCCCUGUGAGAGGCAUCUCAUACGUUCUGUUCCCAGAAGGACCAAAUAGAGCAGGAGCCCAUUCUGACAGAUAUUUUACAAGUAUGGAUGGAGUUUUUGGUGACUUUCCCCAACCUUCCCCUUCCUAAGACUGAAAACCACCACCCAGAGAAAAAUGCAAUGACAACACUAAUUCAUUGGGUAUAUGUAUCGAAAAAUGAUAUACCCCAAAAGUCUAAAAAAUUAUAUUAAGAACUUUGUAUAUUUCCUCUUAUUUGAGUUGAAAAUCCAUACAAAAGUUGAAGUAUUAAAGAAAUCAGUCUGUAUUUUUUUUUUUUUAGAUGGAGUCUCACUCUGUCUCCCAGGCUGGAGUGCAAUGAUGUGAUCUCAGCUCACUGCAACCUCUGCCUCCUGGGUUCAAGUGAUUCUUCUGCCUCAGCCUCCCGAGUAGUUGGGACUACAAGCCUGCACCACCAUGCCCGGCUAAUUUUGUAUUUUUGGUAGAGGCAGGGUUUCACCAUGUUGGCCAGGCUGGUCUUGAACUCCAGACCUCGUGAUCUGCCCACCUCAGCCUCCCAAAUUGCUGGGAUUACAGGUGUGAGCCACCGCGCCUGGCCAUCAGUAUGUAUUUUUAGCAGCAUGAUAAAGCACAGAAAGAGAGUGGCUAAAGACUGACCAAGAAUGGUGUACUAAAAAUUAGAGAAACUAUGUAGUAUAACUAAUGUGUAAUUAAAUACCCAGGGCCUUUUUUUUCCUUUCAAUUGGAAAAAGCAAACUCAACUUAUGAUUAUUCCUGCUAACCUGAUUUUAAAAUUAGGAAUGGAGUAGCUAACAUCAUACUGAAUGGGGAAAAUCUAAAAGCCUUAAUUCUAAGAACUGGAAAAAAACAAGGAUGCCCACUUUCACCACUCCUAUUCAACAUAGUACUGGAAGUCCUAGCCAGAGUAAUUAGGCAAGAAAAAGAAAUAAGAGGCAUCCAAAUUAGAAAAGAAGAAGUUAAAUUAUCCCUCUUUAUAGAUGACAUGAUCUUAUAUCCAGAAAAACCUAAAGGUGCCACAAAAUAGCUCUUAGAUCUGAUCAAUAAAUUAGGUAAAGUUGUAGGAUACAAAAUCAACAUAUAAAAAUCAGUAGGUUUUCUAUACACUAAUAAUGAACUAGCUGAGAUAGAAACCAAGAAGUCAAUCCCAUUUACAACAACUACACAAAAUAAAAUGGGAAUAAAUUUAACCAAGGAGGUGAAAGACCUCUAUAAGGAAAGCUACAAAACCCUGAUGAAAGAAAUUGAAGAUGACACAAACGGAAAGACCCAUACUUAUGGACUGGAAGAAUUAAUCUCAUUAAAAUGAGCAUACUGCCCAAAGUGAUCUAUAAAUUCAAUGCAAUCCCUAUCAAAAUAUCAGUGUUAUUUUUCACAUAAAUAGAAAACACAAUCCUAAAAUUCAUAUGGAACCACAAAAGGGCCCAAAUAGCCAAAGCAAUCCUGGGCAACCAAAACAGCAUGGUAUUGGUAUAAAAUGAAAAUGAACUGCUAUCUCUCACCGUAUAAAAAAAUCAACUCAAGGUGGGAUUAAAGACUAAAAUAUAAGACCCAAAACUAUAAAGCUACUAGAAGAAAACACAGGGGAAACACUUUAGGACAUUGGUCUAGACAAAGAUUUUAUGGCUAACAUCUCAAAAGCACAGGUAACAAAAACAAAAAUAGACAAAUGGGACUAUAUUAAACUAAAAAGUUUCUGCACAGCAAAAAAGACAAUCAACAGAGUGAAAAGAUAACCUCUUGAAUGGGAGAAAAUAUUUGCAAACUGUAAAUCCAACAAGGGACUAAUAGCCAGAGUAUACAAGUAACUCAAACAACUAAAGAGUGAAAAACAAAUAAUCCUAUUAAAAAGUGGGCAAAGGACAUGAAUAAACAUUCACCAAAAGAAGACAUAAAUGGCCAACAGGUAUAUGAAAAAAUGUUCAGCAUCACUAAUCAUCAGGAAAAUGCAAAUCAAAGCCACAAUGAGAUAU